AGAGUUUGAUCAUGGCUCAGAUUGAACGCUGGCGGCAUGCUUAAUACAUGCAAGUCGAACGGUAACAGAUUCUUCGGAAUGCUGACGAGUGGCGGACGGGUGAGUAAUACAUAGGAAUCUGCCCAUGUAGUGGGGGACAACUUGGGGAAACUCAAGCUAAUACCGCAUAAUUCCUACGGGAUAAAGAGGGCCACUGCUUGCAAGCUCUUGCUACUGGAUGAGCCUAUGUCAGAUUAGUUAGUUGGUAAGGUAAUGGCUUACCAAGACAGCGAUCCGUAGCUGGUUUGAGAGGAUGAUCAGCCACACUGGGACUGAGACACGGCCCAGACUCCUACGGGAGGCAGCAGUAGGGAGUAUUGGACAAUGGGCGCAAGCCUGAUCCAGCAAUGCCGCGUGUGUGAAGAAGGCCUGCGGGUUGUAAAGCACUUUCAAUUGGGAAGAAAGAUUAUGAGUUAAUACCUUAUA
rnacentral:rRNA from 1 species